rnacentral:rRNA from 1 species
AGAGUUUGAUCCUGGCUCAGAACGAACGCUGGCGGCAUGCCUAAUACAUGCAAGUCGCGCGUGAAAGUCCUUCGGGACGAGUAAAGCGGCGCACGGGUGAGUAAUGCAUAGGAACGUGCCCUCCGAUGGGGAAUAACUACGGGAAACUGUAGCUAAUACCGCAUGAUGACGUGAGUCUAAAGCAGCCCUCUAUUUAUAAGGUUGCGUCGGUGGAGCGGCCUAUGUCCCAUUAGCUAGUUGGUAGGGUAAUGGCCUACCAAGGCGACGAUGGGUAGCUGGUCUGAGAGGACGAUCAGCCACACUGGGACUGAGACACGGCCCAGACUCCUACGGGAGGCAGCAGUAGGGAAUUUUGCACAAUGGGCGCAAGCCUGAUGCAGCAAUGCCGCGUGAGUGAAGAAGGCUCUUGGGUUGUAAAGCUCUUUCGGCCAAGAAGAAGGGGUCACUUGCGAACAGCCUGUGAUUUUGACGGUAUUGGAAGAAGAAGCACCUGCUAACUUCGUGCCAGCAGCAGCGGUA